ACUGGGCAUGGUGGCGCACGCCUGUAAUCCCAGCAGCUAGGGAGGCUGAGACAGGAGGAUCGCAAGUUCAAAGCCAGCCUCAGCAAAAGCAAGGUGCUAGGCAACUCAGUGAGACCCUGUCUCUA
rnacentral:sRNA from 1 species